rnacentral:rRNA from 1 species
CGCUUCGCUUAUAAUAGAAUAAACUGCGGUGUUACUCCUGGGUGCGAUCAUACCAGCACUAA